rnacentral:rRNA from 1 species
UAGUCCACGCCGUAAACGAUGUGUGCUAGAUGUCGGGUCCAUAGGAUUCGGUGUCGCAGCUAACGCACUAAGCACACCGCCUGGGGAGUACGGUCGCAAGAUUAAAACUCAAAGGAAUUGACGGGGGCCUGCACAAGCGGUGGAGCAUGUGGUUUAAUUCGACGCAACGCGCAGAACCUUACCAGCUUUUGACAUCCUGGUCGCGGAUUUGGGAGACCAUUUCCUUCAGUUCGGCUGGACCAGUGACAGGUGCUGCAUGGCUGUCGUCAGCUCGUGUCGUGAGAUGUUGGGUUAAGUCCCGCAACGAGCGCAACCCUCAUCCUUAGUUGCCAGCAUUUAGUUGGGCACUCUAAGGAAACUGCCGGUGAUAAGCCGGAGGAAGGUGGGGAUGACGUCAAGUCCUCAUGGCCCUUACAAGCUGGGCUACACACGUGCUACAAUGGCGAUGACAGUGAGCAGCUAACCCGCGAGGGCAAGCUAAUCUCU